rnacentral:tRNA from 7 species
CGAAAUUGGUAGACGCUACGGACUUAAAAUCCGUCGACUUUAGAAAUCGUGAGGGUUCAAGUCCCUCUAUCCCCA